GACGAACGCUGGCGGCGUGCCUAACACAUGCAAGUCGAACGGACAGGCGCUGCUUUUGUUGGGUUCUUGAUAGGCGAACGGGUGAGUGACACGCGUGUAACCUCCCCUUGUCUUUGUGAUAACUUCAGGAAACUGGGGCUAUUACCGGAUAUGAUCUUCUGCUGCACGGGGGGGGUUGGAGAGUUUCGGCGGUUUGGGCUGGACUCGCUGGUUAUGAGCUGGUUGGUGUGGUAGGUGCUUACCAAGCCUUCGACGGGUAGCCGGCCUGAGAGGGCUACCGGCCACAAUGGGACUACGGUACGGAGCAGAAUCGUACGGGCGGCAACGGUGGGGAAUAUUGCGCAGUGGGGCGAAGCCUGAUGCAGCAACGCCGCGUGCGGGAUGACGGCCUUCGGGUUAUAAACCGCUUUCGCCUGUAACGAAGCGUGAGUGACGGUAAUGAGUAAAAAAGCACCGGCUAACUACGUG
rnacentral:rRNA from 1 species